CCAUAGAACAAUUUAAAACACAAGUUCCCAUAUGAUCACAGAAGCUAAGCAACAUCAAGCCUGGUCAGUACCUAGAUGGGUGACCUCUUGGGAAUAGCAGAUGCUGUAAG